AGCGUGGAGACAGGUGGUGCAGGGCUGUCGUCAGCUCGUGUCGUGAGAUGUUGGGUUAAGUCCCGCAACGAGCGCAACCCUCACCCCUUGUUGCCAUCAGGUCAUGCUGGGCACUCUAGGGGAACUGCCCCGGUCAACGGGGAGGAAGGCGGGGAUGACGUCAAGUCAUCAUGCCCCUUACGCCCUGGGCUACACACGUGCUACAAUGGCCGGUACAAAGGGAUGCAACGCCGUGAGGCAGAGCCAAACCCAAAAAGCCGGUCUAAGUUCAGAUUGGAGUCUGCAACUCGACUCCAUGAAGGAGGAAUCGCUAGUAAUCGCGUAUCAGCACGACGCGGUGAAUACGUUCCCGGGCCUUGUACACACCGCCCGUCACACCACGAAAGCCUGCUGUACUCGAAGUCGCUGAG
rnacentral:rRNA from 1 species